rnacentral:rRNA from 1 species
GACGAACGCUGGCGGCGUGCUUAACACAUGCAAGUCGAGCGGUAAGGCCCUUUCGGGGGUACACGAGCGGCGAACGGGUGAGUAACACGUGGGUGACCUGCCCUUAGCUCUGGGAUAAGCCUGGGAAACUGGGUCUAAUACCGGAUAUGACUCCAUGACGCAUGUUGUGGGGUGGAAAGCCUUGUGCGGCUAGGGAUGGGCCCGCGGCCUAUCAGCUUGUUGGUGGGGUGAUGGCCUACCAAGGCGACGACGGGUAGCCGGCCUGAGGGGGCGACCGGCCACACUGGGACUGAGACACGGCCCAGACUCCUACGGGAGGCAGCAGUGGGGAAUCUUGCGCAAUGGGCGAAAGCCUGACGCAGCGACGCCGCGUGAGGGAUGACGGCCUC